CGACGUCAGAGCGCAGCGACGCGGUCGGUGCUUCCCGCCCGUUCGGCAGCGCCAUGUUGAAGGUAAUUCGGCUGGGGGCCACCCCUGUUAGCCUGAGCUUGCUCUCUGUCCAGGUUUAUGCUUCCUCUUCAGAGAAGGACACUUCCAAAAAGGAGUUGCUGAAAAUUGAGGAGCUGUCACUCUACUCCUCUCCAGCUCGUGAGACUAAAUAUGUGGAGAAUCCACAAACCCAAUUGGAAGAGGGGGUUUCGCGUUUACGUCAUGUUAUGGAGCCAUAUACAGCCUGGUGUCAGGAUCUUUAUGCCAAAGCUAUACCCAAAUUAGAAAAAGCUGUUGAGCAUGGUAGAGAGGGCUGUGAAUUUCUCCAAAACCCCCCUGCUGGAUUUUACCCAAGGCUUGGUGUGAUAGGUUUCGCUGGAAUUGUUGGAUUGUUUCUUGCUAGAGGCUCAAAAAUAAAGAAGUUAGUGUAUCCUGCGGGUCUCAUGGGUAUUGGUGCCUCCAUGUAUUACCCUCAGCAAGCGGUUGCUAUUGCAAAGGUUGCUGGUACACACCUGUAUGACUGGAGUCUUCAGGGAUAUAUUGCUGUAGAGUCUCUUUGGAAGGAUAAUCCUAAGAAGAAGAAAUCUGGGGAAAAAAGUGAUAAGGGUGAUGCAGAGGGUGACAAGUCCCUGGAAAUCCAUGCUGCUUCAAAUGAAGAGCGAGCCCGGAAGUAAAACACCAGAUCACUUGGCAUCAAACAGGUGAAUAAAAAAUAUAGAUAUGAGCAACAAUUUCCCAAGAAAAAGAGGAAAACCAGCUGAUGAAUCCAUUUUGAUUUUGAAUGUGACUAACCUGCCUCAGGAAAGACUGAUGGUGUGCUGCUUGGGCUUCUGGUAUGGAAUCUGUGAAAGGACACUACGUAUUUUGGAUAUUACAACAGAGGCUAAAACUGGUAUAUUCCCCGUGCAAGUUUCAUGUUAAUGGUUUGGUCAUCCUUCCCCUCAAAGCCUUUUGGCUUGGUAACCGGAGUCCAUGCAUCUGGGGAAACAGUGUUCUCAUCUCGGCAUCCUCGGCCAUAGUGGCCGUUAGCAGGCGUGCUGGGGAGGCCUGCACAGCUUCCCGCUGGACCUUCUGGAUGCAGCAUCUCAAAGCAGGACCGGCUGUUGCACCUGGAUGGCCUGGCAGCUGUCUAGGUCAGCCCCACUGCGGAGUGGUUUUGCCAGAGUGAAAGGCAUGAGGGGAGCAGUUUUAUUGGCACACGAGUUCUCCCCUCUUCCCUUGCAGCUGAAAAACUGCUUUGCCAGUGGGAAGGCUGAGGAGCAUCGUGUGAACCACCCGGCUCACCCACCAGCCCCGGAGGGAUGCUCCUGGAGCAUGGAAGAGCUCAACACCGUCCCUCCCAACUUGAAAAGAGGGACCCUUUCUGCCCACGUCUGCAGGAACUCAAGGCUGGGCUCCCUAGGCAGAAGAUCCCGUAACGUUUCCAUACUUGAUCGUUGGCUUAAUUCUCUGCACCAACUUGGUUGCCCUUACCUUUCUCCUCUCACUGUGUUUGUGACCCCUCUCUCUGGUGGAUUUUCUUGGCUUUGCCCGGAGCACCUCCCUGGCCCGGGGGUCCUGCUGAGGUCUUCCCAACAUUUUUGUCUCACCUCAGUAAUUUUCUUGAGGAAUUCCGACACCUCAUCGACCCUGCUUUCAAGAUUUCUCAUUUAUGGAUUCCUCAAGCUCCUUCUCAUGUAUGGUUACCGCUAGCAGCUUUUAUCACCGAUUUUGAGACAGUGUUUCCUUAAAACCUGGUCUAUUUUGAGGUUAAAUUACUAUUUAAGUUAAAUUACUAUUUAUUACUAUGAGGUCAAAAUUACUAUUUUGAGAGCUGGAGAACAAUAAACUCACUCUCUUUUAAAAUAUAAUUUAUUUUAAAUGUCAGGGGUUUGAGCCAGGUGAAUUUGUAGUGGUGAUAGCUGUGCUGGCUCCACGGCCCCAUCUGACCCCGUACGGGGAGGGCCUCGGCUCUACGCCGACACGUCUGGAGGAAUCCCGGUGCCCCUGGAGCCGUUAUUCCUAGACACGUGGUGCGUGGGGCCGUGGCACAUCACCCAGUGCUGACGUGGGUGCGUGCAGGUUGUCUCCCCACGCUGGCACAGCAGCAGCCUCUUCUCCCUUAUGGGAGAAGCUGCAGAUCCAGGCGGCUGUCCCUAAAAACCUGGCAAGGGCGGCUUUGCAGCGCUUUUGGCACCCUGUAGCCAAAACCAUCUGAAAGGGUGUUACGGCAUGCCUUGCAUAAAAGGGACGGGUUUGAAGGACAUGCGUGUUUAUUUACGGAGAGAUUGGCAUUGCAUUUGUUUUUCUAAUGCUCCCUUUCCUGCUCUUGUGAAGGCAGUUAUGGGGGGGCAGCUGUCCCGACCGGCAGGACGCGGGGGUACCCUUGGGCAGGUGAGCUCCUCCGACCUGACCUUCCCUCUGUGCUGAGGGCAGGGACAAUGGCAAAACUGGAGAAAAAAAGAAACAUCAGAGCAAGAGAGAGCUAAAGUGUGCACUGUGAUCAGAAAGGAUGCAGUGAAAGCAUGCCAAGAAAGUAUGGUAGAUUUUUUUUUUUCAUGUGUGCUCUCCAUUAUUGAGUUUCUAUCCCCACCAGUAAGGAUUAGUUUCCUACCUUUCCCUUCUCCCUUUUCCUAUUCCCAGCUCAGCAGUACAGUUGGAGGGGGGCCACACUCCUCCCCAGGUUAAAGCUUAAGAGAUAUUUUUGUGGGCGACUUCUAGUCAUGUAAGAGGAAAACUUGUUGUUUUUCCAGGAUGCACAAGGCUGGAGACAGGCAGGUACCCAAGGACGCAGCCCUCCCAGCCCUGAUUUCACUCAAGGUGCUACAGUAGCCCUGUAAGUCUUGUUAGAAUCACUUUUUCCUAAUGUACCCUUGUAGUUGCAAAGGAUCUUUACAUUAUUUAUUUUGUGUUAGGGAACUGCAGAGGCUGAGUGCGAAUUUGUGUGCAGAGGAGAAACCCUGCCUACUAAUAAAUCUAGUAGAGUUUUCUCCCCUUCUUAGGUGGGAUUUUAUUUUUUUCAACAGUAUGUUCAUAACAAAUGUGAGAAUUAGGUUAGAUCAGAUCAUUAGAUUAGAUUGAAAGGUAAUGCUCAAAUGCAUAUUUCAUAAUGAGUUUUCUUUUGAUUGCACUAGGUAAUAUAUUCUUUAAAUGUUUUGACGUUUAAACAUUUGACUUCAGGAAAAGGAAAUUAACAUGACAUUUUAAAAAAAUUCAUAGAGAACAACUUACUUGUGGCACAGCAUACAGAAGAGCUGCUUGCUUCUCCUGGGAUGGAGUUUUAGC